rnacentral:misc_RNA from 1 species
UGGCUCUCGCAUCGAUGAAGAACGCAGCGAAAUGCGAUACGUAAUGUGAAUUGCAGAAUUCAGUGAAUCAUCGAAUCUUUGAACGCACCUUGCGCCCCUUGGCAUUCCGAGGGGCACACCCGUUUGAGUGUCGUGAAAUUCUCAAAAAACUUUCUUUGGAAAGGAUUUUGGACUUGGAGGCCUUUUGCUGGUUUCACCUUGAAGCGAGCUCCUCCCAAAUGGAUUAGUGGGGUCUGCUUUGCUGAUCCUUGACGUGAUAAGAUGUUUCUACGUCUUGGGUUUGGCACUGUCACUUGGGCACCCGCUUCUAACCGUCUCAUCGACAAUGAUGGCGUUCCGGUCGACCACCGUUUCAUCGGUGGGAGGCUUGACCCACCACAAACCUUGACCUCAAAUCGGGUGAGACUACCCGCUGA